CUCCAUUAACCUUGCUGGGGUGUAAGAAGUCAAAACUUGGUCUAUAUUUUGCAGCAUGGUCUCGUGGUUAAGGGCUUGCAGUAACAACAUCUGUGUUCUAUUCCCAGCCUAGACACAAGAUUGCUCUGUGAUUUUAGGCAUGAUGGAACUCCUCAGAAGAACACACCCUGUUUUCAAGAGCAUUCUGGGAGCAGCUGGGCCUGCUUGCCCUCUCACAGCUGGGGCGGGGUCCAAGUCCCUUUCGAGACAGAGACUACGAGGCUGAAUGAGAGUGCCCCAAGACACAGAGGCCUGGGGAGCCAGGGAGCGCAGAAGCUAAGACUCCUCCAACUGGAGCAACCGCAGCAGAGGAGGGCGGACAGUGGCCCUUCCAGUGAGCAAUUGCUUCGAAUGUGGGCAGCACGGCUACUUUCGACAUAACUGCCCCUUUAUGGAUUGUAGCUACAGGCAGGCCUGGACAGCCACCCCUAAAGCUUGCAAACAGGGGCUGGCCAAGAUAAUGGGCCCAGUGAGGGUCUAUGGGAUUGAGGCACUUGGCCUAACAGAU